rnacentral:rRNA from 1 species
UACGUAGGGCGCGAGCGUUAUCCGGAAUUAUUGGGCGUAAAGAGCUCGUAGGCGGUUUGUCACGUCUGCUGUGAAAGCCCGGGGCUCAACCCCGGGUGUGCAGUGGGUACGGGCAGACUAGAGUGCAGUAGGGGAGACUGGAAUUCCUGGUGUAGCGGUGAAAUGCGCAGAUAUCAGGAGGAACACCGAUGGCGAAGGCAGGUCUCUGGGCUGUUACUGACGCUGAGGAGCGAAAGCAUGGGGAGCGAACAGG